GAUGAACGCUGGCGGCGCGCCUAACACAUGCAAGUCGAACGGCACCCCACCUCGGUGGGAAGCGAGUGGCGAACGGCUGAGUAACACGUGGAGAACCCGCCCCCUCCUCCGGGAUAGCCUCGGGAAACCGUGGGUAAUACCGGAUGACGCCCGGACGACGCAUGUCGCCCGGGCCAAAGCCCAGACGGGAGGGGAUGGCUCCGCGGCCCAUCAGGUAGACGGCGGGGUGAAGGCCCACCGUGCCGACGACGGGUAGCCGGGUUGAGAGACCGACCGGCCAGAUUGGGACUGAGACACGGCCCAGACUCCUACGGGAGGCAGCAGUGGGGAAUCUUGCGCAAUGGGGGGAACCCUGACGCAGCGACGCCGCGUGCGGGACGAAGGCCCUAGGGUCGUAAACCGCUUUCAGCA
rnacentral:rRNA from 1 species